ACUCCUACGGAAGGCAGCAGUGGGGAAUAUUGCACAAUGGGCGAAAGCCUGAUGCAGCGACGCCGCGUGAGGGAUGACGGCCUUCGGGUUGUAAACCUCUUUCAGCAGGGAAGAAGCGAAAGUGACGGUACCUGCAGAAGAAGCACCGGCUAACUACGUGCCAGCAGCCGCGGUAAU
rnacentral:rRNA from 1 species